rnacentral:misc_RNA from 1 species
GGAAGGAUCAUUAACACAAAAAUGAUAAAACCCUUUUUUUUAGUUGGGAUAAAGUUUUAAAAAGACUUUUAUCUCUCAACUAAAAAAUUUACCACAAUGGAAAAUGUUAAAGUCUAUUAACAUUAUUAUUAAUGUAAAAUAGUACUUUAUUCAUACAUCUUAUUUUAAAAACCACAAAUCAAUAUAAAAUAAUUAUGAUUAUAUCUUAAUAAAAUAUAAUCUUUAAACACAACUUUUAGCGACGGAUCUCUUGGCUCAUGCAACGAUGAAGAACACAGCGAAAUGUGAUAAGUAAUGUGAAUUGCAGAUGUCUGUGAAUCAUCAAGUCUUUGAACGCAAGUUGCGCCGUCAAAAGCGGCAUACUUGUUAGAGUGAUGGUGAAAAUCAAAACCAAAAAAGAGAAUCUUUAUAUUUUCUAAUAUAAAGGUAUUGAGGAUCUAGUUAUAUUUUUAACUAGUCACUUUUAAAUGUAUGUACUACCUUUUUUUAUUUAAAAAAGUAAAUGUUGUUGGAUGUGCUUUUUUGCAUAAUUUAUUCAACAUUGAAAUAAAUAAAGAUUAUUUGUACAUUCAAUCGGAACAUGUAUCUAUCUAUACAAUAGAUACCAUUCUCUACAUCAUCCUCUAAUCAAGUAAGACUACCCCCUGAACUUAAGCAUAUUAAUAAGGGGAGGAAAAGAAACUAACUAGGAUUCCCUCAGUAAUGGCGAAUGAAGUGGGAAGAGCUCAGGUUUAAAAUCUGGCAGCAUCAGCUGUCCGAAUUGUAGUCUUUUGGAUGGUCAUAGGGGUAGGCAUUGGCUCAAGUCCGUUGGAAUGCGGCGCCUUAGAGGGUGAGAGCCCCGUAGUCAGCCAAAUGAUCUUAUCCCGUAAAUUGAUCGUUCGUAGAGUCGGGUUGUUUGGGAAUGCAGCCUUAACUGCGAGGUAAAUUCCUUGCAAAGCUAAAUACUGGCAUGAGACCGAUAGCGAACAAGUAGAGUGAUCGAAAGAUGAAAAGAACUUUGAAAAGAGGGUUAAAAGUACGUGAAAUCGCUAAAAGGGAAGCGAUUAGGUUCAGUAUGGGUGUAUCUCCGAAUCGUAUAUCGUGUGGGUAUAAGGGGUUACGUAGAGGGCUGGUUAACAUCGGUUCAUACGUGAUUCAUGAAGCUUACGUCGGUGUACUACUUUUGGGAUGCACUAGUCAGCAUCGGUUCGUUUGAGUUGGUGACAGAAAAGUUGGGGAUGGAAGGCCGCCUGCGGGUGGUUGAAUACCCUGAUCAAUGGUCACCUGACGGACUGAGGUGGUCGAUAAAAGUCGACCAGCAAAGGGGGUGCCUCAAGGCAGGGCUCUGACGUUCGCAGUGAUUGACAUGGGUGUAGCACUAGUGCAGUGCUGCGCCCUGGCGGUUACUCCCGGAUGUUAAUCCGCUUACCUCCUCUUGAUGCUGACAAAAUGGGCUUAAUCGACCCGUCUUGAAACACGGACCAAGGAGUUCAGCAUAUGUGCGAGUAUUUGGGUGCGAAAAAACCCAUGUGCGUAAUGAAAGUGAAGGCUGGUUCGGCCAGCUUAGGUGGGAGGACGCCAUGAUGAAUGGCGUCUGCACCAUCGACCGGUCUGGAGAUACUUCGAAAGAUCUGAGUAAGAGCACAUCUGUUGGGACCCGAAAGAUGGUGAACUAUGCCUGCAUAGGGUGAAGCCAGAGGAAACUCUGGUGGAGGCUCGUAGCGAUACUGACGUGCAAAUCGUUCGUCAAAUGUGGGUAUAGGGGCGAAAGACUAAUCGAACCUUCUAGUAGCUGGUUCCCUC